rnacentral:rRNA from 1 species
AUUGAACGCUGGCGGCAUGCCUUACACAUGCAAGUCGAACGGCAGCACGGGUGCUUGCACCUGGUGGCGAGUGGCGAACGGGUGAGUAAUACAUCGGAACGUACCUUAUCGUGGGGGAUAACGCGGCGAAAGCUGUGCUAAUACCGCAUACGCCCUGAGGGGGAAAGCGGGGGAUCGCAAGACCUCGCGCGAUUAGAGCGGCCGAUGCCUGAUUAGCUUGUUGGUGGGGUAAAAGCCCACCAAGGCGACGAUCAGUAGCUGGUCUGAGAGGACGAUCAGCCACACUGGGACUGAGACACGGCCCAGACUCCUACGGGAGGCAGCAGUGGGGAAUUUUGGACAAUGGGGGCAACCCUGAUCCAGCAAUGCCGCGUGAGUGAAGAAGGCCUUCGGGUUGUAAAGCUCUUUUGUCAGGGAAGAAACACCGGCUCUAACACAGUCCGGGAAUGACGGUACCUGAAGAAUAAGCACCGGCUAACUACGUGCCAGCAGCCGCAGUAACAC